rnacentral:rRNA from 1 species
GAUGAACGCUAGCGGCAGGCUUAACACAUGCAAGUCGAGGGGUAUAGGUCUUCGGACCUAGAGACCGGCGCACGGGUGCGUAACGCGUAUGCAAUCUACCUUUUACAGAGGGAUAGCCCAGAGAAAUUUGGAUUAAUACCUCAUAGUAUAUAGACUUCGCAUGGAGAUUAUAUUAAAGUUACAACGGUAAAAGAUGAGCAUGCGUCCCAUUAGCUAGUUGGUAAGGUAACGGCUUACCAAGGCGACGAUGGGUAGGGGUCCUGAGAGGGAGAUCCCCCACACUGGUACUGAGACACGGACCAGACUCCUACGGGAGGCAGCAGUGAGGAAUAUUGGACAAUGGGCGCAAGCCUGAUCCAGCCAUGCCGCGUGCAGGAUGAAGCAUCUAUGGUGUGUAAACUGCUUUUGUACAGGAAGAAACCCUGGCUCGUGAGCCAGAUUGACGGUACUGUAAGAAUAAGGAUCGGCUAACUCCGUG